UGGGGAAUUUUGGACAAUGGGGGCAACCCUGAUCCAGCAAUGCCGCGUGAGUGAAGAAGGCCUUCGGGUUGUAAAGCUCUUUUGUCAGGGAAGAAACGGUAGUAGCGAAUAACUAUUACUAAUGACGGUACCUGAAGAAUAAGCACCGGCUAACUACGUGCCAGCAGCCGCGGUAAUACGUAGGGUGCAAGCGUUAAUCGGAAUUACUGGGCGUAAAGCGUGCGCAGGCGGUUGUGUAAGUCAGAUGUGAAAUCCCCGGGCUCAACCUGGGAAUUGCAUUUGAGACUGCACGGCUAGAGUGUGUCAGAGGGGGGUAGAAUUCCACGUGUAGCAGUGAAAUGCGUAGAUAUGUGGAGGAAUACCGAUGGCGAAGGCAGCCCCCUGGGAUAACACUGACGCUCAUGCACGAAAGCGUGGGGAGCAAACA
rnacentral:rRNA from 1 species